GAACCAGUACCGUGAGGGAAAGGCGAAAAGAACCCCGGCGAGGGGAGUGAAAAAGAACCUGAAACCGUGUACGUACAAGCAGUGGGAGCACAGAGCAAUCUGUGUGACUGCGUACCUUUUGUAUAAUGGGUCAGCGACUUAUAUUCUGUAGCAAGGUUAACCGAAUAGGGGAGCCGAAGGGAAACCGAGUCUUAACUGGGCGUUAAGUUGCAGGGUAUAGACCCGAAACCCGGUGAUCUAGCCAUGGGCAGGUUGAAGGUUGGGUAACACUAACUGGAGGACCGAACCGACUAAUGUUGAAAAAUUAGCGGAUGACUUGUGGCUGGGGGUGAAAGGCCAAUCAAACCGGGAGAUAGCUGGUUCUCCCCGAAAGCUAUUUAGGUAGCGCCUCGUGAAUUCAUCUCCGGGGGUAGAGCACUGUUUCGGCAAGGGGGUCAUCCCGACUUACCAACCCGAUGCAAACUGCGAAUACCGGAGAAUGUUAUCACGGGAGACACACGGCGGGUGCUAACGUCCGUCGUGAAGAGGGAAACAACCCAGACCGCCAGCUAAGGUCCCAAAGUCAUGGUUAAGUGGGAAACGAUGUGGGAAGGCCCAGACAGCCAGGAUGUUGGCUUAGAAGCAGCCAUCAUUUAAAGAAAGCGUAAUAGCUCACUGGUCGAGUCGGCCUGCGCGGAAGAUGUAACGGGGCUAAACCAUGCAC
rnacentral:rRNA from 1 species